rnacentral:rRNA from 1 species
AUUGAACGCUGGCGGCAGGCCUAACACAUGCAAGUCGAGCGGCAGCGGGAAAGUAGCUUGCUACUUUUGCCGGCGAGCGGCGGACGGGUGAGUAAUGCCUGGGGAUCUGCCCAGUCGAGGGGGAUAACUACUGGAAACGGUAGCUAAUACCGCAUACGCCCUACGGGGGAAAGCAGGGGACCUUCGGGCCCUGCGCGAUUGGAUGAACCCAGGUGGGAUUAGCUAGUUGGUGCGGUAAUGGCUCACCAAGGCGACGAUCCCUAGCUGGUCUGAGAGGAUGAUCAGCCACACUGGAACUGAGACACGGUCCAGACUCCUACGGGAGGCAGCAGUGGGGAAUAUUGCACAAUGGGGGAAACCCUGAUGCAGCCAUGCCGCGUGUGUGAAGAAGGCCUUCGGGUUGUAAAGCACUUUCAGCGAGGAGGAAAGGUUGGUAGCUAAUAACUGCCAGCUGUGACGUUACUCGCAGAAGAACCACCGGCUAACUCCGUGCCAGCCGCCGCAGUAA